rnacentral:rRNA from 1 species
UACGUAGGCAGCAAGCGUUGUUCGGAGUUACUGGGCGUAAAGGGUGCGUAGGCGGCUCUAUAAGUAUGGUGUGAAAUCUCCCGGCUUAACUGGGAGGGUGCGCUAUAGACUGUGGGGCUAGAGUGCGGGAGAGGAAAGUGGAAUCCCUGGUGUAGCGGUGAAAUGCGUAGAUAUCAGGAGGAACACCGGUGGUGUAAACGGCUUUCUGGACCGUAACUGACGCUGAUGCACGAAAGCUAGGGGAGCAAACAGG